rfam:Triticum aestivum genome assembly, contig: Triticum_aestivum_CS42_TGACv1_scaffold_546654_6DS
GUAGUAUUCCCUCCGUCCCAAAAUUCUUGUCUUACAUUUGUUUAGAUACGGAUGUAUCUAACACUAAAAUGUAACUAGAUACAUCCGUAUUUAGACAAAUUUAAGACAAGAAUUUUGGGACGGACGGAGGGAGUACAAA